rnacentral:rRNA from 1 species
UACGGAGGGUGCAAGCGUUAUCCGGAUUCACUGGGGUUAAAGGGUGCGUAGGUGGGGUGGUAAGUCAGUGGUGAAAUCUCCGAGCUUAACUUGGAAACUGCCAUUGAUACUAUCAUUCUUGAAUAUUGUGGAGGUCAGCGGAAUAUGUCAUGUAGCGGUGAAAUGCUUAGAUAAGACAUAGAACACCAAUUGCGAAGGCAGCUGGCUACACAUAUAUUGACACUGAGGCACGAAAGCGUGGGGAUCAAACAGG